rnacentral:rRNA from 1 species
AGAGUUUGAUCAUGGCUCAGAUUGAACGCUGGCGGCAUGCUUAAUACAUGCAAGUCGAACGGUAACAGAUUCUUCGGAAUGCUGACGAGUGGCGGACGGGUGAGUAAUACAUAGGAAUCUGCCCAUGUAGUGGGGGACAACUUGGGGAAACUCAAGCUAAUACCGCAUAAUUCCUACGGGAUAAAGAGGGCCACUGCUUGCAAGCUCUUGCUACUGGAUGAGCCUAUGUCGGAUUAGUUAGUUGGUAAGGUAAUGGCUUACCAAGACAGCGAUCCGUAGCUGGUUUGAGAGGAUGAUCAGCCACACUGGGACUGGGACACGGCCCAGACUCCUACGGGAGGCAGCAGUAGGGAGUAUUGGACAAUGGGCGCAAGCCUGAUCCAGCAAUGCCGCGUGUGUGAAGAAGGCCUGCGGGUUGUAAAGCACUUUCAAUUGGGAAGAAAGAUUAUGAGUUAAUACCUUAUAAUAUUGACGU